rnacentral:rRNA from 1 species
CACGUAGGAGGCGAGCGUUGUCCGGAAUCAUUGGGCGUAAAGAGCGCGCAGGCGGUCGAUCAAGUCGAGUGUGAAAGCCCCCGGCUCAACUGGGGAGGGUCAUUCGAUACUGAUCGACUCGAAGGCAGGAGAGGGUAGUGGAAUUCUCGGUGUAGAGGUGAAAUUCGUAGAUAUCGAGAGGAACACCGGUGGCGAAGGCGGCCUUCUGGACAGUGACUGACGCUGAGACGCGAAAGCGUGGGGAGCAAACAGG